rnacentral:rRNA from 1 species
GACGAACGCUGGCGGCGUGCUUAACACAUGCAAGUCGAACGGAAAGGCCCUGCUUUUGUGGGGUGCUCGAGUGGCGAAAGGGUGAGUAACACGUGAGUAACCUGCCCUUGACUUUGGGAUAACGUCAGGAAACUGGGGCUAAUACCGGAUAGGAGCUCCUGCUGCAUGGUGGGGGUUGGAAAGUUUCGGCGGUUGGGGAUGGACUCGCGGCUUAUCAGCUUGUUGGUGGGGUAGUGGCUUACCAAGGCUUUGACGGGUAGCCGGCCUGAGAGGGUGACCGGCCACAUUGGGACUGAGAUACGGCCCAGACUCCUACGGGAGGCAGCAGUGGGGAAUAUUGCACAAUGGGCGGAAGCCUGAUGCAGCAACGCCGCGUGCGGGAUGACGGCCUUCGGGUUGUAAACCGCUUUCGCCUGUGACGAAGCGUGAGUGACGGUAAUGGGUAAAGAAGCACCGGCUAACUACGUG